rnacentral:rRNA from 1 species
CUACGGGUUGCAGCAGUGGGGAAUUUUCCGCAAUGGGCGAAAGCCUGACGGAGCAAUACCGCGUGAGGGAUGACGGCCUAUGGGUUGUAAACCUCUUCUUUCAGGGAGGAAUCAAUGACGUGUACCUGAAGAAUAAGCAUCGGCUAACUCCGUGCCGGCAGCCGCGGUAAGACGGAGGAUGCAAGUGUUAAUCGGAAUUGCUGGGCGUAAAGCGCGCGUAGGCGGCUAGAUCAGUCGGGUGUGAAAGCCCCGGGCUUAACCUGGGAACUGCAUCCGAUACUGUCUAGCUUGAGUACAGGAGAGGAGAGUGGAAUUCCACAUGUAGCGGUGAAAUGCGUAGAUAUGUGGAGGAACACCAAUGGCGAAGGCAGCUCUCUGGCCUGAUACUGACGCUGAGGUGCGAAAGCGUGGGGAGCAAACAGGAUUAGAUACCCGCGUAGUC